UACUGCUGACGGUAUCUGCAGAAUAAGCACCGGCUAACUACGUGCCAGCAGCCGCGGUAAUACGUAGGGUGCCAGCGUUAAUCGGAAUUACUGGGCGUAAAGCGUGUGUAGGCGGUUCGGAAAGAAAGAUGUGAAAUCCCAGGGCUCAACCUUGGAAACUGCAUUUUUAACUGCCGAGCUAGAGUAUGUCAGAGGGGGGUAGAAUUCCACGUGUAGCAGUGAAAUGCGUAGAUAUGUGGAGGAAUACCGAUGGCGAAGGCAGCCCCCUGGGAUAAUACUGACGCUCAGACACGAAAGCGUGGGGAGCAAACAGGAUUAGAUACCCUGGUAGUCCACGCCCUAAACGAUGUCAACUAGCUGUUGGGGCCGUUAGGCCUUAGUAGCGCAGCUAACGCGUGAAGUUGACCGCCUGGGGAGUACGGUCGCAAGAUUAAAACUCAAAGGAAUUGACGGGGACCCGCACAAGCGGUGGAUGAUGUGGAUUAAUUCGAUGCCACGCGAAAAACGUUACCUACCCUUGACAUGUCUGGAAAGCCGAAGAGAUUUGGCCGUGCUCGCAAGAGAACCGGAACACAGGUGCUGCAUGGCUGUCGUCAGCUCGUGUCGUGAGAUGUUGGGUUAAGUCCCGCAACGAGCGCAACCCUUGUCAUUAGUUGCUACGCAAGAGCACUCUAAUGAGACUGCCGGUGACAAACCGGAGGAAGGUGGGGAUGACGUCAAGUCCUCAUGGCCCUUAUGGGUAGGGCUUCACACGUCAUACAAUGGUCGGGACAGAGGGUCGCCAACCCGCGAGGGGGAGCCAAUCUCAGAAACCCGAUCGUAGUCCGGAUCGCAGUCUGCAACUCGACUGCGUGAAGUCGGAAUCGCUAGUAAUCGCGGAUCAGAAU
rnacentral:rRNA from 1 species